rnacentral:rRNA from 1 species
UAAGGAAUAUUGCUCAAUGGGAGAAAUCCUGAAGCAGCAACGCCGCGUGGAGGAUGAAGGGUCUAUGACUUGUAAACUCCUGUAAAGAAGGAAAAAAUUCCCAUUAGAUGGGAGAUGAUGGUACUUCUGGAGAAAGCCCCGGCUAACUACGUGCCAGCAGCCGCGGUAAUACGUAGGGGGCAAGCGUUGUCCGGAUUUACUGGGUGUAAAGGGCGCGCAGGCGGGAUAAAAAGUCAGUGGUGAAAUCCUACAGCUUAACUGUAGAACUGCCUUUGAUACUUUUAUUCUUGAGUUCGGGAGAGAGAGACGGAAUUCCAGGUGUAGUGGUGAAAUACGUAGAUAUCUGGAAGAACACCAGUUGCGAAGGCGGUCUCUUGGUCCGACACUGACGCUGAGGCGCGAAAGCGUGGGGAGCAAACA